rnacentral:misc_RNA from 1 species
UUAAGUUCAGCGGGUAUCCCUACCUGAUCCGAGGUCAAAGACGGUAAAUGUGCUUGUUGGACGCGAGCCGUAGCCCCUCGAGAAGCGCAAUGUGCUGCGCGAGAGGAGGCAAGGACCGCUGCCAAUGAAUUUGGGGCGAGUCCACGCGCGGAGGCGGGACAGACGCCCAACACCAAGCAGAGCUUGAGGGUGUAGAUGAC